CGGACGGGUGAGUAAUGUAUGGGGAUCUGCCUGAUGGCGGGGGAUAACUACUGGAAACGGUAGCUAAUACCGCAUAAUGUCUACGGACCAAAGCGGGGGACCUCCGGGCCUCGCGCCAUCAGGUGAACCCAUAUGGGAUUAGCUAGUAGGUGAGGUAACGGCUUACCUAGGCGACGAUCCCUAGCUGGUCUGAGAGGAUGAUCAGCCACACUGGGACUGAGACACGGCCCAG
rnacentral:rRNA from 1 species